AGUUUGAUCAUGGCUCAGAUUGAACGCUGGCGGCAUGCCUUACACAUGCAAGUCGAACGGCAGCACGGGAGCUUGCUCCUGGUGGCGAGUGGCGAACGGGUGAGUAAUACAUCGGAACGUACCCUGAAGUGGGGGAUAACGUAGCGAAAGUUACGCUAAUACCGCAUAUUCUGUGAGCAGGAAAGAGGGGGAUCGCAAGACCUCUUGCUUUAGGAGCGGCCGAUGUCGGAUUAGCUAGUUGGUGAGGUAAAGGCUCACCAAGGCGACGAUCCGUAGCGGGUCUGAGAGGAUGAUCCGCCACACUGGGACUGAGACACGGCCCAGACUCCUACGGGAGGCAGCAGUGGGGAAUUUUGGACAAUGGGCGCAAGCCUGAUCCGGCCAUGCCGCGUGAGUGAAGAAGGCCUUCGGGUUGUAAAGCUCUUUCGGUGGGGAAGAAAUUGCUUCGGUUAAUACCUGGAGUAGAUGACGGUACCCGCAUAAGAAGCACCGGCUAACUACGUG
rnacentral:rRNA from 1 species